UGCGGGCCCGGAACCGGUCUCAUAUCUUAUCGGAUUGAUUUGUUCACCGGGGCCGUAGAGAAUGUUCUCGAGAUUGGCGUUUUUCUGUCGUUGAGUGACUCCCGUGGUGUGAACCUCUGCGUGUGCCUUGUGCGUUUGGCGUACGGUUGUGGUGUUUUUAGAACAGUGUUUUUUAUCUAUAUUUAGUUAGUAUACCCUUUCUUUUGUGAUUUGCCAAUAACCAAGAAUUGGUACUCGGAACCCAUUCCAGUUUGCCCCUGCCGUUGCGGAUCGUCCGUGUAUUUGAGUUCCCGUCGCACGUGUCGAGUUAUCCACGGUCACGUGGGAUAGAAUACAGUGGGACUCAAAUAUAUUGAGGGGCGGUAGCAAGUCUUCCUUCACCAAUGACCCAGGUUAAUAUUUAUAACCAUGUUGCAGGACUCCAAAGGCUCAUAAAAUAUAUAGUUAUAAAUUGAGCAACACAAUGAUGUUUAUGACUUAAAAAUAAAAUAUUGUAAAUUAAAUGUAUAUACCUGAUAA
rnacentral:misc_RNA from 1 species